GACGAACGCUGGCGGCGUGCCUAAUACAUGCAAGUAGAACGCUGAAGAGAGGAGCUUGCUCUUCUUGGAUGAGUUGCGAACGGGUGAGUAACGCGUAGGUAACCUGCCUUGUAGCGGGGGAUAACUAUUGGAAACGAUAGCUAAUACCGCAUAACAAUGGAUGACACAUGUCAUUUAUUUGAAAGGGGCAAUUGCUCCACUACAAGAUGGACCUGCGUUGUAUUAGCUAGUAGGUGAGGUAACGGCUCACCUAGGCGACGAUACAUAGCCGACCUGAGAGGGUGAUCGGCCACACUGGGACUGAGACACGGCCCAGACUCCUACGGGAGGCAGCAGUAGGGAAUCUUCGGCAAUGGGGGCAACCCUGACCGAGCAACGCCGCGUGAGUGAAGAAGGUUUUCGGAUCGUAAAGCUCUGUUGUAAGUCAAGAACGAGUGUGAGAGUGGAAAGUUCACACUGUGACGGUAGCUUACCAGAAAGGGACGGCUAACUACGUGCCAGCAGCCGCGGUAAUACGUAGGUCCCGAGCGUUGUCCGGAUUUAUUGGGCGUAAAGCGAGCGCAGGCGGUUUGAUAAGUCUGAAGUUAAAGGCUGUGGCUCAACCAUAGUUCGCUUUGGAAACUGUCAAACUUGAGUGCAGAAGGGGAGAGUGGAAUUCCAUGUGUAGCGGUGAAAUGCGUAGAUAUAUGGAGGAACACCGGUGGCGAAAGCGGCUCUCUGGUCUGUAACUGACGCUGAGGCUCGAAAGCGUGGGGAGCGAACAGGAUUAGAUACCCUGGUAGUCCACGCCGUAAACGAUGAGUGCUAGGUGUUGGAUCCUUUCCGGGAUUCAGUGCCGCAGCUAACGCAUUAAGCACUCCGCCUGGGGAGUACGACCGCAAGGUUGAAACUCAAAGGAAUUGACGGGGGCCCGCACAAGCGGUGGAGCAUGUGGUUUAAUUCGAAGCAACGCGAAGAACCUUACCAGGUCUUGACAUCCCGAUGCUAUUUCUAGAGAUAGAAAGUUACUUCGGUACAUCGGUGACAGGUGGUGCAUGGUUGUCGUCAGCUCGUGUCGUGAGAUGUUGGGUUAAGUCCCGCAACGAGCGCAACCCCUAUUGUUAGUUGCCAUCAUUCAGUUGGGCACUCUAGCGAGACUGCCGGUAAUAAACCGGAGGAAGGUGGGGAUGACGUCAAAUCAUCAUGCCCCUUAUGACCUGAGCUACACACGUGCUACAAUGGUUGGUACAACGAGUUGCGAGUCGGUGACGGCAAGCUAAUCUCUUAAAGCCAAUCUCAGUUCGGAUUGUAGGCUGCAACUCGCCUACAUGAAGUCGGAAUCGCUAGUAAUCGCGGAUCAGCACGCCGCGGUGAAUACGUUCCCGGGCCU
rnacentral:rRNA from 1 species